AGAGUUUGAUCCUGGCUCAGGACGAACGCUUGCGACGUGCCUAAGAAAUGCAAGUCGAACGGGGGCUUCGGCCCUAGUGGCGAACGGUCGCGUAACACGUGGGCAACCUGCCUCGAAGCGGGGGACAACAGAGGGAAACCUCUGCUAAUACCGCAUGUGAAUUGCUCCGGCAUCGGAGAGGAUUCAAAGCCGCAAGGCACUUCGAGAUGGGCCCGCGGCCUAUCAGCUAGUUGGUGGGGUAACGGCCUACCAAGGCGACGACGGGUAGCUGGUCUGAGAGGACGAUCAGCCGGAUUGGGACUGAGAUACGGCCCAGACUCCUACGGGGGGCAGCAAUUAGGAAUCUUGCGCAAUGGGCGAAAGCCUGACGCAGCGACGUCGCGUGAAGGAUGAAAUCUUUCGGGAUGUAAACUUCUUUUGUCAGGGAAGAAACAAAUGACGGUACCUGACGAAUAAGCCCCGGCUAACUACGUGCCAGCAGCCGCGGUAAUACGUAGGGGGCGAGCGUUGUCCGAAGUUACUGGGCGUAAAGAGCGCGUAGGCGGGUCUUUAAGUGAGGGGUGAAAGGUUCAGGGCUCAACCCGGACACUGCCUUUCAUACUGGAGACCUUGAGUGUGGGAGAGGCGAGUGGAAUGGCUGGUGUAGCGGUGAAAUGCGUAGAUAUCAGUCGGAACACCCAUGGCGAAGGCAGCUCGCUGGCCUAUAACUGACGCUGAGGCGCGAAAGCGUGGGGAGCAAACAGGAUUAGAUACCCUGGUAGUCC
rnacentral:rRNA from 1 species